rnacentral:tRNA from 1 species
GCGGGUAUGGCGGAAUUGGCAGACGCGCUGGAUUUAGGUUCCAGUGGGCAACCGUGUGGGUUCAACUCCCACUACCCGUACCA